rnacentral:rRNA from 1 species
GAGUUUGAUCGUGGCUCAGAUUGAACGCUGGCGGCAUGCCUUACACAUGCAAGUCGAACGGCAGCAUGGUCUAGCUUGCUAGAUUGAUGGCGAGUGGCGAACGGGUGAGUAAUACAUCGGAACGUGCCCUGUAGUGGGGGAUAACUAGUCGAAAGAUUAGCUAAUACCGCAUACGACCUGAGGGUGAAAGUGGGGGACCGCAAGGCCUCAUGCUAUAGGAGCGGCCGAUGUCUGAUUAGCUAGUUGGUGGGGUAAAGGCCCACCAAGGCGACGAUCAGUAGCUGGUCUGAGAGGACGAUCAGCCACACUGGGACUGAGACACGGCCCAGACUCCUACGGGAGGCAGCAGUGGGGAAUUUUGGACAAUGGGCGAAAGCCUGAUCCGGCAAUGCCGCGUGUGUGAAGAAGGCCUCGGUUGUAAG